UAGCUCAGUUGGGAGAGCGCCAGACUGAAGAUCUGGAGGUCCUCAGUUCGAUCCUGGG
rnacentral:tRNA from 1 species